UCAGGUCGAAUUGUUAAAAAACCUGAUAGACUAGAUUUAUAAGUAAUUUUAUUAUAAAAUAAAGUGGGUAAAGGAUGAAUGAAACAAUUGUGGAAAUUUAUGAAUGUUUAUUUAAAGAUUUGUUAAAGAAAGUUAUGUUUAUUUUGUCAUUAUAAAAAGAGGGGGAUGUGAUGUAUGUAAAUAGGUAGUAUUCGGAACGCACUCAAGUUGGUAAUAUUGUAAGAGUGACGUGACAGUGACAAGUACAGUGAAGCGGAAAUAAAACCAUUCUGAAUCUAGACACGAUA
rnacentral:lncRNA from 1 species